rnacentral:misc_RNA from 1 species
GAUGAAGAACGUAGCGAAAUGCGAUACCUGGUGUGAAUUGCAGAAUCCCGCGAACCAUCGAGUCUUUGAACGCAAGUUGCGCCCGAGGCCACCCGGCCGAGGGCACGCCUGCCUGGGCGUCACGCCAAAACACGCUCCCACCCCCCCUCACCGGGGGAGCGGGACGCGGCGUCUGGCCCCCCGUGCCGCGAGGCGCGGUGGGCCGAAGAUCGGGCUGCCGGCGUACCGUGCCGGGCACAGCGCGUGGUGGAUCUCUACUCGGCGCAGUGCACCCGGCGCGUAGCCGGCGCAGCGGCCCCUAAGGACCCAACGAACGGAGCGCGAGCCGCUCCGACCGCGACCCCAGGUCAGGCGGGACUACCCGCUGAGUUUAAGCAUAUCAAUAAGCGGAGGA